rnacentral:rRNA from 1 species
UGCGUUNCGAACUGGGUGGCUAGAGUGUGUCAGAGGGGGGUAGAAUUCCACGUGUAGCAGUGAAAUGCGUAGAGAUGUGGAGGAAUACCGAUGGCGAAGGCAGCCCCCUGGGAUAACACUGACGUUCAUGCCCGAAAGCGUGGGUAGCAAACAGGAUUAGAUACCCUGGUAGUCCACGCCCUAAACGAUGUCGAUUAGCUGUUGGGGCACUUGAUGCCUUAGUAGCGUAGCUAACGCGUGAAAUCGACCGCCUGGGGAGUACGGUCGCAAGAUUAAAACUCAAAGGAAUUGACGGGGACCCGCACAAGCGGUGGAUGAUGUGGAUUAAUUCGAUGCAACGCGAAGAACCUUACCUGGUCUUGACAUGUACGGAACCUUCCAGAGACGGAAGGGUGCCUUCGGGAGCCGUAACACAGGUGCUGCAUGGCUGUCGUCAGCUCGUGUCGUGAGAUGUUGGGUUAAGUCCCGCAACGAGCGCAACCCUUGUCAUUAGUUGCCAUCAUUCAGUUGGGCACUCUAAUGAGACUGCCGGUGACAAACCGGAGGAAGGUGGGGACGACGUCAAGUCCUCAUGGCCCUUAUGACCAGGGCCUCACACGUCAUACAAUGGUCGG